rnacentral:rRNA from 1 species
UACGGAGGGUGCAAGCGUUAUCCGGAUUCACUGGGUUUAAAGGGUGCGUAGGUGGGUUGAUAAGUCAGUGGUGAAAUCCCCGAGCUUAACUUGGGAACUGCCAUUGAUACUAUUGAUCUUGAAUACCGUGGAGGUCAGCGGAAUAUGUCAUGUAGCGGUGAAAUGCUUAGAUAUCAGAUAGAACACCAAUGGCGAAGGCAGUCAUCUGGCUCAUAACUGACGCUAAAGCACGAAAGUGUGGGGAGCAAACAGG